GCCAUUAAAGCGAGGAGGAGGAGGGCCAUUCAAACUCCUCCCCACGACACACUGAAGCAGCGACGGCACAGCGGGAAGAAUGGAAAAUGUUUAUAGGAGGCCUUAGCUGGGACACUACAAAGAAAGAUCUGAAGGACUACUUUUCCAAAUUUGGUGAAGUUGUAGACUGCACUCUGAAGUUAGAUCCUAUCACAGGGCGAUCAAGGGGUUUUGGCUUUGUGCUAUUUAAAGAGUCGGAGAGUGUAGAUAAGGUCAUGGAUCAGAAAGAACAUAAAUUGAAUGGGAAAGUCAUUGAUCCUAAAAGGGCCAAAGCCAUGAAAACAAAAGAGCCCGUCAAAAAAAUUUUUGUUGGUGGCCUUUCUCCAGAUACACCCGAAGAGAAAAUAAGAGAGUACUUUGGUGGUUUUGGUGAGGUUGAAUCCAUAGAGCUCCCCAUGGACAACAAGACCAAUAAGAGGCGUGGAUUCUGUUUUAUUACCUUUAAGGAAGAGGAACCAGUGAAGAAGAUAAUGGAAAAGAAAUACCACAAUGUUGGUCUUAGUAAAUGUGAAAUAAAAGUAGCCAUGUCGAAGGAGCAGUAUCAGCAACAGCAGCAGUGGGGGUCUAGAGGAGGGUUUGCAGGAAGAGCUCGUGGAAGAGGUGGUGGCCCCAGUCAAAACUGGAACCAGGGAUAUAGUAACUAUUGGAAUCAAGGCUAUGGCAACUAUGGAUAUAACAGCCAAGGUUACGGUGGUUAUGGAGGAUAUGACUACACUGGUUACAACAACUACUAUGGAUAUGGUGAUUAUAGCAAUCAGCAGAGUGGUUAUGGGAAAGUAUCCAGGCGAGGUGGUCAUCAAAAUAGCUACAAACCAUACUAAAUUAUUCCAUUUGCAACUUAUCCCCAACAGCGGGAACUUCAUUGCAGGCCCUGUGUCGCGCUGACUUCACGAUUCUCACAGGCCCGCUCAAUGCGGACAGGGUACGAGAUGCUCACGCUCUCGAAUGCUGCCGUUUGGUGGUGAAGCAGUAUUUUCCAAUUUGAAGAUUCAUUUGAAGGUGGCUCCUGCCACCUGCUAAUAGCAGUUCAAACUAAAUUUUUUCUAUCAAGUUCCCGAAUGGAAGUAUGACGUUGGGUCCCUCUGAAGUUUAAUUCUGAGUUCUCAUUAAAAGAAUUUGCUUUCAUUGUUUUAUUUCUUAAUUGCUAUGCUACAGUAUCAAUUUGUGUUUUAUGCCCUCCCCAACCCCCCAGUAUUGUAGAGCAAGUCUUGUGUUAAAAGCCCAGUGUGACAGUGUCAUGAUGUAGUAGUGUCUUACUGGUUUUUUAAUAAAUCCUUUUGUAUAAAAA